CCAACAUGGCCGUUCGUCUCUUAUGUUGUGUUUGCGUACUCUAUUUAAUCAUUAUCACGACGACCUGUUUGGCCGUUACUCUUCAUGAAUAUCUACCACUUUCGGAACUAGGUGAAGGUUCCAGAGAGAGUUAUAUACAAAAAUACUUCAAUCUUGGCUUUCCUUAUGAAGAAAUUUUGGUGUUUCUUUCGAAGUUUCACGGAAUUAUACUCAGUCUUCGCCAGUUGAAACGACUACUCAAGACAAUGGGGUUGCGACGCCGAAAGGUAUGCAGUUCAGUGUACGAAGUUGUGUCUGAGGUAGAAAGGGAGUUACGUGGAAGUGGUAGUUCAAUCGGGUACAGAGCAAUGCACAAGAGAUUGACGGUGGAUUACAAUCUAGUUACAGACAGGGAAACAGUCCGUCAGGUCCUAAAAAUUGUAGAUCCUGCAGGGGUUCAAAGGCGUUCGAAACACCGAUUAAAGAGACGAUCGUACAAAAUGAAAGGACCCAAUUAUAUUUGGCACGUAGAUGGCUAUGAUAAACUCAAGCCAUUUGGCUUUUGUAUACACGGUGCCCUGGAUGGCUACAUGUGGUUAGAGGUUGGCCCUUCCAACAACGAUCCAAAGGUAGUAGGACAAUAUUAUAUAGACUAUAUUCGUCAAAUUGGUGGAGCUCCCCGCAUAGUCCGUGCAGACUGUGGAACUGAAAAUGUGCACAUUGCCGCAAUGCAACGAUUCCUCAGGUCUUCAGCUGAUGAUGACUUUGCAGGGGACAAAAGUUUUAUGUACGGAAAGUCAACAUCCAAUCAAAGAAUCGAAGCGUGGUGGUCUCAGUUACGAAGAAGUGGUUCUGACUGGUGGAUAAAAUAUUUCAAGGAUCUCAGAGAUUCAGGGAUUUACCGUGAUGGGCAAAUUAUGGACGAGCAGUGCCUAAAGUUCUGCUAUAAUAACAUCAUCAAAAAUGAACUAUAUAAAGUUGCCAGACACUGGAAUAUUCAUUGCAUAAGACCUAGCACCAACGCAGAGUCCCCCUCCGGUCGACCAGAUACCUUGUAUUUUCUUCCCGAGGUAAAUGAAACCGGCGAUUACAAAACGGGAGCAAGUGUUGCAGACAUAGACGUUGCAGAAGAAAUGUGCUGUAUGCAAAAUCCGCCAAACGGCUGCGAACCCGAGUUCAACGAAUUAGCUGCAAUUAUAAUGAGAGAAAAUCGCCUACAAAUGCCGACAACAGUAGAUGAGGCAGAGCAGUUGUAUGUGGAGUUAUUACAUCAAAUUGAAAGCACGUGACAUUAAAAAGAAUUAAAUAGUUACCCAGUGUUGCCCAGCCAAAUAAUUAUCUACUCGAUGAUUAAGCCUAGUUUCCAUUUGGUCGUUAGUUGUCGCUGGCACGACAAGCGGUAGAUGUGAAAUAGCCUAAUAUAAUAAUAGUAUAUUUUGUGUGUUAUAUGCAAAUCGGUCUUAAUGAUUGCAGAGUUUUAUAAAGUUUUGUUGACACUCUAUUACAUCAGCCACUUGUCGUGCCAGCGACAACUAACGACCAAAUGGAAACUAGGCUUUAAAGUUGAGCUGCAUGCGCAGUUAAUGCUA